rnacentral:lncRNA from 1 species
GAAGACCUGAGGAUUUGUUUCCUGGAAUCUCAGAAAGGCAAGAAGGUGAUUAAUGAAGCUGCAAGGUGCAGACAAAUCAAGUCCUGGGUCUUGCAGGGGAUGCUGAGUCACCCCGCUGCAGGAGGGCAGGUCUGUGCACGCCCUGCUGAGGUCCUGGGUUGCACAGAACACACCGAGUCACCCCACUGCAGACAGGCAGCCACCUGGUUCCACACUACAAAGACGCAGAGGACACCAGACCACCAGACCAAGGUACUGAGUCCCGCUGCUCCCGGCCCAGAGGUAGGGGCUUCUGAGCUGCCAUCCCACUGCUCCUGGUCCAGAGGAAGGGGCUUCCCGGUCACCAUCCCUCCUGCUGCUCCCAGCCCAGAGGAAAGGGCUUUUAGGCCACCUUCUGUCCUGCUGCUCCUGGCCCAGAGGAAGGGGCUUCCAGGCCACCAACCCUCCCACUGCUCCCAGCCCAGAGGUAGGGACUUCUGAGCCGCCAUCCCACUGCUCCUGGUCCAGAGGAAGGGGCUUCCCAGCCACCAUCCCUCUCGCUGCUCCCAGCCCACAGGAAAGGGCUUUUGGGUCGCCAUCCCUACUGCUGCUCCCAGCCCCUGUCCCACCUCUCCCAGCUCAGAGGACGUAAUCCAUGCAGGCGGCAACAGCCCCCCCCCCCAGUAAAAAUGAGAAAACAUGUAAAUAAGUCUCAAAACCAGACUUCCAGAUCACCUGCAGCAACCCCAAAGGGAAAUGAGAUGGAACACUCUGAUACUCAGCCACCUGAACCCACUGAACUGGCAACAAAAGGGGAUCUGGAAAAAAUGAAAUCAGAAAUAAUUUCUCAGAUAACAGGAGAAAGUGUGCCCCUAGUGCAAGACAUGAUUAAUAAAUCUAGAGAGGAGCUGAGGAACAUGAUGGAAUCCCAACAUAAGAAACAAAUGGAAUCCAUAAAACAGAUGCAAAUAGAUUUCCAGGACAUGAAAAACUCCAUUGAAAGUCUACACAGCAGAAUGAGCCAAUGUGAGGACAGAAUUUCAGAUAUAGAAGAUAAGAUUGCAAUUAAUGACCAGGAAAAGAAAAAUUGCUUCAAAAUUAUAAGGG